UACAGAGGUCCCGAGCGUUGUUCGGAUUCACUGGGCGUAAAGGGUGCGUAGGUGGCGAUGAAAGUUCGAUGUGAAAUCUCCGGGCUUAACCCUGAAAUGGCAUUGAAUACUACUUUGCUGGAGGUUUGGAGGGGGGACUGGAAUUCUUGGUGUAGCAGUGAAAUGCGUAGAUAUCAAGAGGAACACCAGUGGCGAAGGCGAGUCCCUGGACAACACCUGACACUGAGGCACGAAAGCUAGGGGAGCAAACAGG
rnacentral:rRNA from 1 species